rnacentral:lncRNA from 1 species
UAAAAACAGGAUCGCUAAUAGGUUACAGCAUUGAAAUCAAAAACCAAAACUUUAAAUCUUAUUACAACUUAAACUACAUUAUCAGUUAAACCUCGAUAAGAAGAAUAACUGACAACCAAAUAAAUAAAUCUAUCUACAACUGAAUUGAAAUAAAUCAACUCUAACCAUAGCCAUUCUCACAGACAUCUCCAUGGCAAUCUCGCCUAGCAUCAGUCUUACGCGCAGCUUACACAGGUUACCUUCUCAAUCCCUAGCUGAAAGGGUUAGAAAUAAUAGCAAGGGUGAGCAAAAAUGCUCAGCAAGAUAAUAGGUAAGGCAAGAGCCACAAGAUAUAAAUUCUUUUGAAUUAAAUCAGAGUAUUUGAAAUAGAGCAAACUUUUGAAGUAAAUCAUAACAUUUGUAACUGAAAAGUUUAUCAAACAUAUAAAUCAAUAUGCUUGAAAAUUCACAAGAUAUAUUUGACAGUAAACAUAAGCUAUCAUAGGCUUAAACAAUAACGACCAGUUUUUGAAUUGGAAUCCACAAUUGACGGGUGCACUAUCACAAUUGAUCAUACCAUGUGAUAGCACAGGACCACACUUCGUAGAAGCAUGUCCUAAUUAACAGGUACCAAAUAGAAGGCAACACAUUAGCCUUUGGCAGCAAAGUAUUAUCAUAUUUCAAUAAUACCCAAAUAGCCCUUCACUGGACCGCCGUCCCGGCCUCUUAUGCAAAAACAAAGAAAUAUUCCGAUUUCUUCCGGAAGCAGAUGACAUAUCAUGUUUCUGAAAACUUUUUGUUUUCAAAUUCAAAAUACUGUCAAAAAUCAAAUUUUAUCAAAGUCUGAGUACAAUUUAAAAAUCCACCGUAAUAAGGCUCAAAGGAAAAACAAAGCUAUUUAGUUAUUUAAAAUCCAGGGUUUAUGUCUGGGACAGAAGACCAGGCAUAUAUUGUAAUGUCGAAAUAUGACUGCUAUAGAGUCAUCAAUAGUUUCAAACUGUAAAGUAACUCAGACAAUAAUCUUUCAGAAAACUGAUUAAUUCUUAAUCAGUAUACUUUUCAAAGAAUGAUAUCAUUGUGCAUACCACUAAAAAAAAGAUCGAACUAAAAAUAUUCGAUAAUUUUAAUCACAGUGUAAAAGUAUGAAUGCUUGCAGAAAUACAAGUCAUGCAUGGAUAGAAAACCGCGUUAUUAAAAGAGAGAGUUAAAAUAUUUGCUCUUUAAAUAAAAGUGAAGAAUUGGAAUACUUGCCUCUGACUGAACACAAGUGACAACACGGUCACUCUACUCGAGAUUUCUAGAUUGACCUC